AUCGGAACGUGCCCAAUCGUGGGGGAUAACGCAGCGAAAGCUGUGCUAAUACCGCAUACGAUCUACGGAUGAAAGCAGGGGACCGCAAGGCCUUGCGCGAGUGGAGCGGCCGAUGGCAGAUUAGGUAGUUGGUGAGGUAAAGGCUCACCAAGCCGUCGAUCUGUAGCUGGUCUGAGAGGACGACCAGCCACACUGGGACUGAGACACGGCCCAGACUCCUACGGGAGGCAGCAGUGGGGAAUUUUGGACAAUGGGCGCAAGCCUGAUCCAGCAAUGCCGCGUGCAGGAUGAAGGCCUUCGGGUUGUAAACUGCUUUUGUACGGAACGAAACGGCUCUCUCUAAUACAGGGGGCUAAUGACGGUACCGUAAGAAUAAGCACCGGCUAACUACGUGCCAGCAGCCGCGGUAAUACGUAGGGUGCGAGCGUUAAUC
rnacentral:rRNA from 2 species